rnacentral:rRNA from 1 species
AUGAAUGUUUGUACUAGUAGUAAAAAAGUGGUAGCGGUGGGAGUAGAAGCAAGCAAAAGAAGAGAAGCGGUCGUACCUGGACAAGAUGCCAAACCAGGUGGAAAGGGGGAGGCACGAGUGCAUUGCCUUUUGCCCGCUUUCCAAUUCCGCUCGCCCUCAUCACCUCACCUCACGGGGUGGCCACAGCGAUUUACCUGUGGCGCCCCGCCCCACUCCCUUUUCUGUUUUAUAGCACCCCCUGCCCGCCUGCGUCCUCGGUUUUUCUCCGCUGAGCUUUCCUUCAACCCCGCUCAACUCCCGUCCUUCCUUCCCUCCCUACAAAUCUGGUCUGCUGGCCGCUGUUCGCCGCGGCCGCCGGGUCUCUCGCGCUCGCGCAACUGCCUCAAAACCCUAGCCACCCCUCGCGACCCAGUCGAUUGGAUCGCCCGCUUCCUCCUCAUCCUCCACCCACACCCAAGGGACCACUGAUUUCACUCCUGUGUUUUCAACUCACUUGGGCUCCGCGAGAGUGCUGCCAUACUGGGAUCAUCACCUUCUGUUUGGCCUGAACUGUGGAAGUUUCUAAGUAGAAACUGAGGGUCAGUUCAAAACUUCAUCCCACUCACCCCAUACAUACUGGCGAGAAAUGGAUCGUGAUGAUGUAUCUGGCUUUGUUAGCGGGGGUUGCAAGCUGUUCUGAGUUUUCUAACCUAGUAGAAGUUCAUAAAUAAAGUUAUGAUACCAGGAAGUCAGUCAACUGGUGGUUCUUUUCAUUUACUAAUUGGUUGAUGUUUCCGAAUUGGAAUGGACAAAACUUCUCAUGGCCUUGGAUUUGGUGAUAGAAUCAACUCGGUGAACACUUCUCAUUACCAGAGUUCAGUUGAACAUACUGCUCAGCAUAGAGAUACACUUGAUUCCACAUCAUACUCCAGCUUUUCAUUCACUAACACAAAAGCCCUGAAAAGGAAGUGGGGUACUAUGGCGGGAGCAGAAGGUACUGGGGAUGCAUUACUCACUCUGGGUUUAGGCCGUUCACCAAGUUCAUCUGACAAUAGCAAAGUAAGCUCUGCCACAGCUUGUGCAAUGUCUCCAUGCUCGCUAAAGGAGGCUGAUGAGGAGUCAUCUGUUGAUCUUAGCUUGAAUUUUGAGCUUUCCCUUGGCAAUGAUGUUGCACACUUCCAAAGGAAAUCCUCUGCUGCUUUGGUGGCCAAAUCUCCUAAACUGGAUCUUCAGUUGAGUUUAUCCACUGGCUCACCUGAAUCUGCUGUCACUUGUACAAAUAUGGUGUCACCAAAUAUUCAUGAUGGCUUGGACAUACCAGUGACCUAUUCAUUACCAGCCAUUAUAGGGAAUGGGUCAGCACCGUCUAGUUGGGGUUUUGAGCACUCUGUGGUUUCAUCAUCAUAUGCGUCUGAAGCAACAUAUGCCUUUCCAUUUUCGAAGAUACCCAGACAAGAGAAUGGUGCUUUAGCUUCGCCAGUCAUAUCGUCAACUAUGCCAGCAAGUGUGAAGAGCUCGGUUGCCUCUACUUCGGUGGUAACUAACCCUCAGCAGCGCAAUCUUAACACUAAAACCUGCCAGUUCCCUGGAUGUGGGAAAGGGGCAAGAGGUGCAUCAGGGCAUUGCAUAGCCCAUGGUGGUGGCAGGCGAUGCCAGAAACCUGGUUGCCAGAAGGGUGCUGAAGGAAGGACCAUAUAUUGCAAGGCCCAUGGUGGAGGGAGGAGAUGUGAGUUUCUUGGAUGUACAAAGAGCGCUGAAGGGCGCACCGACCACUGCAUUGCCCAUGGCGGUGGCCGCCGGUGCAGUAAUGAUGGCUGCUCCCGUGCUGCCCGAGGAAGAUCUGGCUUAUGCAUCAGGCAUGGAGGUGGAAAAAGGUGUCAGCAGGAGAAGUGCACCAAGAGCGCAGAAGGUCAUUCUGGCCUCUGCAUCUCUCAUGGGGGUGGGAGGCGAUGCCAGUUUCCAGAAUGUGCAAAGGGUGCACAGGGAAGCACAAAGUUCUGCAAGGCGCAUGGUGGAGGCAAGCGCUGCACUUUCUUGGGCUGUACCAAAGGAGCUGAAGGCAGCACCCCUUACUGCAAGGGCCACGGAGGAGGCAAGCGCUGCUUAUUUGAGGGUGGUGGAGUGUGCCCGAAGAGUGUGCAUGGCGGGACGCAGUACUGUGUUGCGCAUGGUGGUGGGAAGAGGUGCGCUAUUUCCGAUUGCACUAAGAGUGCUAGAGGGCGGACGGAGUACUGUGUGCGCCAUGGUGGUGGCAAGAGAUGCAGGUUCGACGGCUGUGUGAAGAGUGCGCAGGGGAGCACUGAUUUCUGCAAGGCGCACGGGGGAGGCAAGCGCUGCUCAUGGGGCCUGCCGGACUCGAGCUUCGGUAUUGGCACAGAGCAGUGUGAUAAAUUUGCUCGCAGCAAGACUGGCCUCUGUUCAGCUCACACCGCUCUAGUCCAGGACCACUGUGUUCAUGGUGGUGGUACAUUAGGCCCUGUGAUCCACCACUUCGCCACAGAUGUUAAACCGGACGAGAUGGAAAUUGCUGCGGCAGUGAAGGUUGAUCCUGUUUCGAUGCAGUCGGAGCCUCCAUUGCCGGAGGGCAGGGUGCAUGGCGGCGGGCUGCUGGCGCUGCUUUCUCGCGGCGGAAACCACACAGGCCCUGUUGGUAACUCGGAGAACGGGGCCUCUGUCAUGAUGGCGUGGAUGUGAGUGGGCGGACAUUCUCAUCAAGAAUUGGUUGCUUCAAGUUUUGAUCUGUUUCCAGAGCUAAUGCUGUGGCGGGAUGAAGUUCAACAUUUCACCAAUUGUUGUCCUAGUUGUUUGGAAGUGGUAGGACAUAUAUCCUCCGUGUAGAAUAAAUAAGGGAGAGCGUUGUGGGCUUCUCUGUUAUUGUAAUUAAUUAAUUAAUGUCGUCAAACUGCCCUUGCUUUGUGUUUAUUACAAUUUGUGUAAUCUGAUACUAUUUCACAGUUCCUACUUGGAUGUCGUCUCUUCGCUGUUUGCUUUCCUUUGUGUUUCUGGUAAUAGUGCAGCAUGUAGUACGAUAUUUUUUGGUGGGUACUGGGUAGAAGUCUGUCCUAUAUUGGUCGGAUGAGGGUUAUUUGGUUAUCGAUUAU